rfam:Schistosoma mansoni strain Puerto Rico chromosome 3, complete genome
AUCCAGCUGACGAGUCCCAUAAAAGACGAAGCAUGUGUCCUUGAU